rnacentral:rRNA from 1 species
AUACGUAGGUGGCAAGCGUUGUCCGGAAUUAUUGGGCGUAAAGCGCAUGUAGGCGGUGCCUUAAGUCUGUCGUGAAACUGCGGGGCCUAACCCCGUAUGGCGAUGGAAACUGGGGGACUUGAGUGCAGGAGAGGAAAGGGGAACUCCCAGUGUAGCGGUGAAAUGCGUAGAUAUUGGGAAGAACACCGGUGGCGAAGGCGCCUUUCUGGACUGUGUCUGACGCUGAGAUGCGAAAGCCAGGGUAGCGAACGGGAUUAGAUACCCCGGUAGUCCUGGCCGUAAACGAUGGGUACUAGGUGUGGGAGGUAUCGACCCCUUCCGUGCCGGAGUUAACGCAAUAAGUACCCCGCCUGGGGAGUACGGCCGCAAGGCUUAAACUCAAAGGAAUUGACGGGG